rnacentral:sRNA from 1 species
UAUGGACCACUGCGUCGGUAACUAUGACGAAGUAAAACGGCAGUAGCCGUUAAAAAAAAUAAAGUAAAAUGAUCCAUAUAGACAGAUCGGAGAUGUCGCUGAAAAAAUAGAAGUGUCGUUGGAAAAAAUAGAGAUAUUGAUCUAACAACGUAGGAGUCGUGAAAAAUAUAGCGGCCUAAAUGAACAUAAUCCAGCUUUUCUUCCAUUGUCAGUUUUGAACAACCAGCAACGAAUUUUAUAAUAAAUUAUGCCAUUUAUUUCUCAUUUCGUUCUUUAAUUUUUAGUCAUCAAAUUUAAUCGCAACGACCAAUACAAGAAGAACAUGGUAUAAUCAUACCAAAUCAUUGAUUCAAUAUUACCUUAUUAGAUUUUAUAAAAUUCAUUAUCCAUUCAACAAUUGUACCUCAACAUUUUCAAAUGUACCUCAACAAGCAAUU